rnacentral:piRNA from 1 species
CUACUCGUCCUUGAAGAAUGCCAGCAAG